GGAGAAACCCCACCAAAAUACACAGCACUUUUGUGUAAGUUUGCUUUAAGACCAGUAGCUGCUAGGAACUGAGAGAAAAAUAAGAACAUAGAACUUACUGACUAAAGCUCUCCUUUGACAAACAAUAGUAAGUCAUCAGCAAAGCUUAUGUGAGUAAUUCCCAACUUCUUACAACCAGGAUGAUAUAUGAAGCUUUUAGUAUGAUUCAAUUCUGCCAGGGAUCUACUAAGAUAUUCCAUUAUAAUAGCAAACAGAAAGGGAGAUAUAGGAUCU
rnacentral:lncRNA from 1 species